rfam:Vavraia culicis subsp. floridensis unplaced genomic scaffold supercont1.29, whole genome shotgun sequence.
AGAAUUCUCGAAGAACAGCGUUGGAGAAUGCCGAGCAAAUCGGCAUCUCUGAGGAAAGUCCUCGAACACACGCAGAAAUGCAGCUCAUAAGAGUGAUACUUUGUUAUUGGGACAGUAAUGCUGUUAGGUAUCGGUCUACUGAACAGAAUGAGGCUUACUCUCGAGAAUUC